rnacentral:lncRNA from 1 species
GAGUCACUCACCGCAGCACUGGGAUGGUGGCCACAGGGCUGGUUGGCUGGGCCGUCUGGAAGGCGGUUUCCCUCUUCACGUCUGUCUAGAGAAUUUCAGGUUUGCCUUUGGAGGUGCUAUAAGGAGUUCCAAGUGAAUAUGUGAGAAACACAUCACUCUAUCCAUUGUAGGAUGACGAACACUGAGUAACUUGCUCAAUAUGGCACAGAAGGAGGACAAAAAGGUGACAGAAGGCACCCGUGUAUUGUUCCUGAUUUGGAUGGGUGUACUGUGUAGAUUUUGGAAUGAAGAGGACCCUGAAGCCCUAGGAGACAAGAACAGAACCACAAGAUGGAAAGAGUUUGGGUUCCCAGAAGGUGGCCCACCAACUGUCAAUAUCUGUGUUGGAUGUUCACCUGAAUGAAAAAACUUUUAUUGUAUUGAACCACUGGAGUUUGGGAAUUUGUUACAGCUGCUAGCAUUACCUUGUUUAUUUUGUUGUUGGUAAACUGGUAAAUCUAUAACUAAUAAAUAACAGGAACAUACGAAGGAUGCCUCAGAAGCUCCCUCUUCCUCUCUACUAAAGGUACAGGAAUGGUUAUUAUAGUUUAAAAGGCAGUUUUACAUAGUCAUUGAACCCUUACAACUUGGCAUAUUUACUGUUAUAUGGAGAAGAUUGGAAUUCAGUUAAGUGGCUUCUCCAAGGUCACUCAACUGGCAAUUAAGAGGGAGAUGCGGACUCCAACCAAGGCUUGUCUGGUAUUGCAGCCUCUACUACUUCUGUCACGGCACAGUAAUAAAUGUGAAAUUCUAUGGGGAUAAGUUCCCUUUCUGUCAAUAUCAUGUCCAAGAUGUUUGGACAUGUCCUUCUCCCUCCUUCUUUUCACCUUUGUCUCUGCCAGAGUUUCUUUAGGAUGCAGUGCCCAAGGCUUGUGAUUAAAAACAGCUGCAGAAGCAGGAGCAAAACAUUACCUAAAAAUAAGUAGCACCUCAGAACACAAUGUGCAUGGACUUCUGGGAGGUGGACAGAGUUGGUGGGGUGUGUGACAUAGAGCUGCCGCAGGGAAAGCUUUGGUUCUCCACAACAGGCAUCUCUUUCUGUGGUUGGCUAUUCCUGGGAGUCUCAAUGAACUUGAUCUCAGAAUCCAGGGCAAAAAAAAUGGACUCACUCUUCUGCUAAGGAAUGAGAAAACUUCCUUUAAGAGUUCAUUAUCCAAUUGGUUCAAACGUAUUUAAUAAAAUGGAAGAACUCUCAUCGAAAAUAUUAGGUAAAAAAAAUGAUGCAAAAUAGCCUAAUCAAAAUUUAAUUAAUAUUUUUAUACACACACAGUUUGCAAAAAG